rnacentral:rRNA from 1 species
AUUGAACGCUGGCGGCAGGCCUAACACAUGCAAGUCGAACGGUAGCACAGAGAGCUUGCUCUCGGGUGACGAGUGGCGGACGGGUGAGUAAUGUCUGGGAAACUGCCCGAUGGAGGGGGAUAACUACUGGAAACGGUAGCUAAUACCGCAUAAUGUCGCAAGACCAAAGAGGGGGACCUUCGGGCCUCUUGCCAUCGGAUGUGCCCAGAUGGGAUUAGCUAGUAGGUGGGGUAACGGCUCACCUAGGCGACGAUCCCUAGCUGGUCUGAGAGGAUGACCAGCCACACUGGAACUGAGACACGGUCCAGACUCCUACGGGAGGCAGCAGUGGGGAAUAUUGCACAAUGGGCGCAAGCCUGAUGCAGCCAUGCCGCGUGUAUGAAGAAGGCCUUCGGGUUGUAAAGUACUUUCAGCGAGGAGGAAGGCGUUGUGGUUAAUAACCACAGCGAUUGACGUUACUCGCAGAAGAAGCACCGGCUAACUCUGUACCAGCCGCCGCAGUAAAAC